rnacentral:rRNA from 1 species
CCUACGGGUGGCUGCAGUGGGGAAUAUUGCGCAAUGGGCGCAAGCCUGACCCAGCAACGCCGCGUGAGGGAAGAAGGCUUUCGGGUUGUAAACUUCUUUUAAGGGGGAAGAACAGAAGACGGUACCCCUUGAAUAAGCCACGGCUAACUACGUGCCAGCAGCCGCGGUAAUACGUAGGUGGCAGGCGUUGUACGGAUUUACUGGGUGUAAAGGGCGUGCAGACGGGGAGACAAGUCAGAUGUGAAAGCCACGGGCUCAACCCGUGAACUGCAUUUGAAACUGUUUGCCUUGAGUGUCGGAGAGGUAAUCGGAAUUCCUGGUGUAGCGGUGAAAGGCGUAGAUAUAAGGAAGAACACUAGUGGCGAAGGCGGAUUACUGGACGAUAACUGACGGUGAGGCGCGAAAGCGUGGGGAGCAAACAGGAUUAGAUACCCUUGUAGUC